ACAAUUCCCUCUAAAAUUUCAUUCUCACACCCGCUGUAUCACCUAAAAAUCUAUAAAUUCUCAUACCCUCAUUUAUCUUCUAUCUGUGGAAAGUCACACCCUAAAAAGCUAUUAACUAUCUCAAAAACCCUAGCCUUUACUCUCAGCCAUCUUCAAUUUCCCUAACCCCCCAAGAGUCCAUAACUUAUUCCUCAUCAUCAUCAAUAACCUCACAUCCCAAACCCUAAGCCUCUCAUUUCUUUGUUCUCACCAUAGUCGUUGAGAGCUACUAAUGCCGAAAUAGAGAAGCUUGAAGUCCACCACUAGCCAGCUAGUUAUCAAUGGCAUUAAACAUUUUCUAAGCUUGAAAUAGAGAUGCUCUAUGGUAACUCUCUGCUUUGAGUAUUUUUUUUUUCUGGGUUUAUCUAAUGUUAGGGCUUGUAUGAAGAUUGCUUGUGUUUCCCCCCUUUUGUGCUUUACUAUUUUAAUUUGUUGUUUCUGAAAUCUAUUGGGGUUGAUUUCGGUUUUGCACAACUGACCCCAACUGAAAAAAAGAGGCACCACUACCAACAGACAAACACAUUGUUUUUCGCUUCCACAAGAAAGAGAGGGCCUUUUUUCAGAGAGAGAGAGAAACGCAGUUUUUAGAGAGAGAAAUCGUGUGGCUCUGAGGAUUUGGGUUAGGGUUUUUUUUUUCUUUUGGGUGGUGAUAAUGGGGAUUGGGUGUUUUUAGAGGGAGACAACAGUCAUGGUUAUAGAGAUUUCUUCAACUAGGUCUAUUGAUAGCAAGCCUUGGCAAUUGAAUGGGCUGACUGGUUGAAUCAAAUUGGCUCAAAUUAGGAAACAAACAUAGAAGACUUUAUUUGGGUUCUGCUUAUCUAGUACAAUUUCUUUUGGAUUUUCAAGGUUAUGGCGGCUUUAAAAUAUUAGCUCAAUGGAUCUAAAUUAGUUGCACUGGUUGUGAUGCUUAGAAACUCUCAGACCAAUGACUUUGACAGUCUCUCCUACUCUAACCUUGGAGCCUUCUGGUACUAUUCUUCUAUUCCCAUCUCAUUUCCUUGUUGUGCAUAGUGUUAUUCAUCAUGAAUGGGUUUCAGAGAUUACUUCUUCAGACUGCAGAAACAUAGUAAUUAACCACUUUGGACUUCAUUCAUUUACAAGAAAUAACAUUUAAUUUUCUUUUGCUGUUUGAUUUUUCGUUAAUUUUCAUGAGACUUGAAAAGUUAUGAAGGGGUCUCAUCUUAAGGUUUCUUGUAUAGAAAAUCAUACACUUUGAUUCCUAUUACUCGUUCUAUUUGUUUAAUUACUCAGUGUGGAGAUUUUUUUGGAUACUUACAUGACUAGUCCUAAGAGGGUUUGCUUUGAUAUACUUUUAUUCAUUUCAUUUAGAUCACCUCUUUUGAGGCUUCAUAAGGGUUUAUGUUUCUGAGUUUGCAUUUUCUUAGUCAGGAGUGAAUUAAAGUAUUCAAUUUAUUUCUGGGUAAGUUUUCUUAGAUAGCACAUAAUAAAAAAAUAUAUCCAAUUCUACUCAACUCAACUCAAACUUAUGUAGUCACAUAUUAUGAGGCCUUAAUUUGAAAUCCAAGGCUUAAAAUUCUGAUAUCUUUUUUUUCUUAGUAAUUGAGUGAUUUUUUAAAUUCAGUUUCUCUUAGAAAUCAAAAUUUUGAAACAAAUUUUCCCAAAUCCCAUAUUUGAAGAAUUUCAAGACUCAAAAUUUGUAGUCCUUCCCACAAUUUUAUAAGCAAUUGAUCAAAAAGAGCUUUGUUGAAAUUUGGAUCCUUAGUGAAACUUUUUUUUUUUUUUUUAGUUUCUUGUCAAAGCAAUACCCUAGUACAGGUUCAUUUUUUGGUAUUCUGGAAGGAUGAACUACAACGGACUAAACAUCAAUAUCUACUACAUUGAUUAGUUGUUUGCACAUUCAAUUUUUUCUAUUAUCUUUUAAAAAAUUAGGCUUUCUACUGAUGUUUAAUUUCAUUUAGUACUAGUCUUAAGCUUGACAAAAAUCAAUUAGUCAUAUAGAAAAUUCAUCCUAUAAAUUACAUGUUACAUCUACUCAAACAGUCUACAAGGUAUACAUGAUUUUUUUAAAUAAUUAUCAUUUUCUUAGAUUUUCCUUUCUUCUACAUUGUCUUAUUUUUGCAAUUGUGUUUCUCUCUAAGAAUUUUGUAUUGUACAUUCAUUUUUUGCAAAAUGAAUUAUUUGUUUCUAAUUAAAGGAAAAUGUGGUAAAAAGCUAAUUUCUUAUUUGACCUUUUUCCACAAGUAUUAAUACCUUCAUAUAUUCCAUUUUGGGGAGAUGUGAUAGUAAAGAAGCAGGAUGCAAAGGAAACUGAUUUGCCAAAAGAAGAGAACCUAAUUUGUUAAAAGAGGUGAUGUCGAUUGAAAACCACCAUGAAGAUUGCAUCAUUAGUCAUUUGAAGGUUGAAUAAUAUUUUUUUGUAGAAUAUAAAUCUUAAUAAUUGUUGCAAUAAUAUUUGUACUCUUGUUGAAAGAAUUAGAAAUUGUUGUUCGAAAUAUUUUGAUGUAAUUUACAAAUUUGUAUGCAA